GAUGAACGCUCGCGGCAGGCCUAACACAUGCAAGUCGAGGGAGAAGCCCUUUCGGGGGCAGAAACCGGCGCACGGGUGCGUAACGCGUAUGCAACCUACCUUUCACAGGGGGAUAGCCCGAAGAAAUUUGGAUUAAUACCCCAUAAUAUUAUUGGAUGGCAUCAUUUGAUAAUUAAAACUGCGGUGGUGAAAGAUGGGCAUGCGUCCUAUUAGCUAGUUGGAGUGGUAACGGCACCCCAAGGCUACGAUAGGUAGGGGUCCUGAGAGGGAGAUCCCCCACACUGGUACUGAGACAGGGACCAGACUCCUACGGGAGGCAGCAGUGAGGAAUAUUGGUCAAUGGUCGGAAGACUGAACCAGCCAUGCCGCGUGCAGGAAGAAUGCCUUAUGGGUUGUAAACUGCUUUUAUAUGGGAAGAAUAAGGCGUACUUGUACGUUGAUGACGGUACCAUAUGAAUAAGCAUCGGCUAACUCCGUG
rnacentral:rRNA from 1 species